UCUAGGCAUCUCCAAGAUCACCUGCCACGAGCCUUUCAGCUCCGCAUCUCUUCUCAGCAGACCCCAGUCUGCCUAGAUUGCAAUCUGAACUUGUCCUCCUGCCCAGAAACGGACACGGAAGCUCCCAGACCGUUCUGCACCAACUUUUACUUUUUUCUUCUUGAAACUGGCUUAAUCUCCUUGGAAAAAAAGCAACUGAGGCCCAAACUGCAAAAAACACCCAGACAGUACCAGAGCCUGGGGCAGUCAUCACCACAGCCCACAGAAUUGGCUACAAAGGUCCCAGAGGGUCCCAGCCUGGCAGGCUCGGGUGCGCUCCAGGAGAGGGGAGGAGCAGCUGACUCGUGACGGUGGAGGAUCCCCUGAACUCUACCUAAUGUUUGUCUGUGGGUCUGCGUCUGUGUCCAUCAGUUGCUGGAUGGUGCCUCUCUGAUGACGAUUGGGCUAGGUACCAUUCUGGUCACAGGAGGCGGCCACUUCAGGCUAUACAUUUGCUUGCUAUUGCCAGGAGUUAAGCUGGGGUCUUUCUUGCAGAUUCCUGGGAGAUUCCCUUGAGCCAGGUCUUUAUCUGACCCCCAAAUGCACCCCUUUUCCAGUAGUCCCUUUUAGUAAGCCCCCUCCGUCCCCACGACCUGAUCCCUCAUGUUCCCAUCCCCACCCAUACUCUGGCCACUCAUGAAAUCUUUUCUACUUCCCCUUCCCAGGGAGAUAUGGGUGUCCCAUCAUGAGUCCUCCUUGUCACCUAGUCUCUCUAAGGCUAUGGAUAGCAUGGUUAUCCUUUAUUUUAUAGCUAAUAUCCACUUAUGGGUGAGUACACACCAUGUUUGUUUUUCUCGGUCUACCCUAAACAGAAACACGCCAUGUUUUGUUGAUAC